rnacentral:misc_RNA from 1 species
GGAAGAGGCCUGUUUAUGAGUGCACAGUUAUUCAGGUUGAAGCUGCAAAGUCUUUCCUGGGAGUGUUGCGGUCGUACCUGGAUUCGCUUUGCUCGAACCUUCGUUCACACACAAUUACUAAUGUCCAAUCAAAUGAUGAUAAGGUAUCUCUGCUCUUGAAGGAAAGCUUUAUCGAGUCUUUCCCUAGUCGAGAUCGGCCCUUUAUGAAGCUUUUCCUGGACACACAGC